UACAGAGGCCACAAGCGUUAAUCGGAAUCACUGGGCUUAAAGGGUGCGUAGGCGGUUCCGCAAGUGCUUUGUGAAAUCCCAUCGCUCAACGAUGGAAUGGCUCGGCCUACUGCGGGACUUGAGGUCGGUAGAGGUCGUCGGAACAGUAGGUGGAGCGGUGAAAUGCGUAGAUAUCUACUGGAACGCCAAAGGUGAAGACAGGCGACUGGGCCGAUUCUGACGCUGAGGCGCGAAAGCGUGGGGAGCUAACGGG
rnacentral:rRNA from 1 species